AAUUCUUAUCGUAUGAUUUGUAAUACUUUUACGCCAUUUUCAAAUAAUAGAGGUCAUUUCUUCUUUCUCAAUUUAUGUAGUACUAAAUUUUUUUUGAGAUUCAAUCAAUUUUUUUUGUCUUUGAAAUAUUUCUAGCUGUUAAUUACUGUAAUUUAUAGUACUUUCUAAGAAAUUUUCAAAUAAUAUAUAUUAUUUCAUUUGUCCCAAUUUAUGUGUCACCGGUAAAAUUUGAA
rnacentral:lncRNA from 1 species